ensembl:lincRNA
CAUAGUAGUUGAAUGUUGUCUGUCCGUCGGCCUCACCUCAAAACACAGUAAUGUUUGUCAAAGAAAAAAAAAGAUCAAGUAAAAGUUCCUUCAAAUUAAUUAUUCGAAAGGUACUUAUAAUUUUUUUCAAUGACACCAAAAAAAAAACAUUGAACCUGGGUGGUGUAUCGGCAACAGACUGCUGCCUCGAUCGCUCUUGGAUUUUUUUUUUUUUUUUUUUUUUUUGCUGUUAAUUAAUAUAUAACCUCCCAUUUUUGAGCUCUUUCAAGCAGAAUAAGAAUUAAAGUUUCCUUUUCUUAUUUGUUUUGUAAAUACUAUGGUAAUACCAUGGUAUUUUUUCCCAUGAGCUUCAGCUUGUGCUUUCAUGAUAUUAAGAUGAGAGUGAGAGCGUACUACGUAUGUAAGAAUUGUACUCACAAACGUUUUUGGAGGAAUAAUGUUUUAUUUUAAUCCGGUGUGAUUUUUUUUGUGUGUAUGUACAUCAUCGAGGCUCAUGGAAGAGCGAGAGCAGAAUGGAAGGGAACACAUUUGAAAAGGGGGCAACACCACCAGCAGAGUAGAAGUGAGAGUGAGGUCAAGGGGAGGAGGAAAAGGGAACAUGGUGGUGAAGAAGCCACACACAAGUAGAAUGAAACACAGCAAGAAGAGGAAGAGGAAAGAGGGGAUGAAACAGAAAAGAAACAAAGCAACCGACAACUAACAAACGAAAAGAGACAUGUCCAUGUUAAACUCAUCUUCUUUUGCUGCACUACUGUUGCUCUUCGCCAUGCUCUUGGCUGCAGCAAACUCACAGGACGUGAAGUACAACUGCAGUUUACCUGGCUGCAAGUGCACCAAGAAAAGUCAACAAACCAAAUUCGUGAACGUGGAUUGCCAACGCACAAACCCCAAAAUAUUCUUCGAAAAUCUCCCUGAAUACACAAAGACCCUAAAAUUGAAUGAUACCGGACUGAGCUACUUGCCAAACGGUGCUUUGGAUAAUCUGCAUCAUCUUGAAGAACUCCAUUUAGGUGGUAACACUUGGCACUGCGACUGUCAAAUCAUUUACCUGUGGCAGUGGUUCCAGGAUAACAAGAACAUAAUCAAAGGUCAAGUCUUCUGUCACACACCCCAAGAAUUCCAGGGGAAAGAAAUAAAAGCUUUGAAGGGCAACGACUUUGUGAACUGCCUGAAGAAGCCUCCUGGGUGCUGGGAGUUGGUGCUGCGUGACAUGGGAUUGCACAUGAUCAGUAUAGUGCUCUUGAUCCCUCUGUUCUCCGCACUGUGUAGCAUCCGCAGCAAAGCGCUGUUCUCGUGCAAAAGAGCUCGUGCGGCCGAGCCUCCACAAUCAGAAGAAAGCAUUUACGAGGAGGUGGAUAGGAGCUUGGCUUCCUCCGCCAUGUAGCUUGUGCAUGCCCAGAAGCUUGAUUAUCAUGUCACAUGACUCAUAUUCCACAAUGCAUUGCACCGUACCGUACCGUACCAAUUGGAGCCAACAUUAUUUUCGUGUUUUUAGACAGUGAAUGCAAACUAAAAGAUCACGCCCUGGUAUCACACAUUGGGCACACCAAGUCGCUCCCUCCAAUCCAGAAGGGGGGGGGGGAUGACAAUUGACUCCAUCCAAACUUCGGAUUGGAGGAAAACUUUCAGUGCAGCCAAUCGGUCUACACAGUACAAACCAGACGCAGGUUGCCUUCAAGUGAGCCUGGGUCAUUUACAACAUUAAAUCUUUUCAAUUCACAAAUUUCUUCUCAGCACAAGAACACGAACUACUGUUGGAGUACUUUAUUGUUUGCGACGUAAUAAAUAAUAAUGAUAAUAAGGCACUUGUGUUGAUGUAAUAAUGGAUGAAAUUAAAUAAACUUCCACUUUUCCCUGCUGUUUGGGUCUGAUUACGUAGUGUUUUGAAAUAUAAAGCAAAUUGUGGACAGAAAUGGACCUUUAAAGAAAUAGGGAAUGUUAUGCAGCCAGAACUUACACGUUGGAGAUUCAAAGGGUGAUGCAAACUGAACUACAUGUAAUUGGCUUGAAUUUCGACCUCUUGAACUUGUGAUAAAAUAUGCUGAAUAAUGGCACCAACAAAACUUGGCAAAUUCAACCAUUAAGUAAAAUAAUAAUAACAAAUAAUUAUAUCUGGUUACAGCUUAGCAGUACAUGUGAAGUCUUCAUUAUAUUGAACAAGCUACGAUCAGUGGGAUGAGCAGUUACGUUGGAAUUUAUCAACCACCACCAACCCCGAUAACGUUAUAAAGGCCCAAAUGUCCUGGCAAUGGUGUUCAGGGAAUUUGGGCAAAACGGAAAAGAAAGAAAAUUAAAGAACAUCCUCACCUGACCCUGCUCAGCGUGACCAGCAAUUUCCCACUAGGUCGGAAUAACUUGAAAAAAAUUAUGCGUAAAAGAGUUUUUCCUUAUUGUCCAGCAAUGCCUCGACAGAUUUUAAUAAAUGUAAAUAAAAAUGUCCACCUUUCACAUUGCCCAGUGUAAUCAAGUUCAGAUCCGUUCCCAAAAAGGGGAUUGUCUCCCAAAAUUGCCACUUAAUGCCACGACUCAUCAUCAUCAACAUCAUCAUCAUCAUCUGAGAGGAUGGCCAAGAGGUAUUCACACUCUCCUCUAAGCUAUCUAGCCUGGGUUUGAAUCCCGAUCGAGCGAGAAAGUCAUUCUGGUAUUUCAUAAGAAGAGUGAUCGAUCCAUCAAUGCGUGCUUUCCCUCGGAUGGACGUUAAAUAGACAUCCUGUCUGCCAGCAUUCAUUGGGUGGAUGUUAAAGAUCCUACGGUGUCAUUCGUGAAGAGUCGGUGAGCUAUCACCGGCACCCUGAACUGGUUACACCAACAGCGAUAGAAUUGAAGUCGGUUUGAAUCCAGUGCCGAACGGCUUUUGAGAUCAGGUCUCAUUCAAGAACAGGAAAGGUUCAGUUGUAAUAACUUGGCCAUAAUUAAUUGAAAAGUAAACCAAUAGUUGUAUUGUCAAAGAGGGGGGGGGAGGGUUAAGUAAUAAAGGACAACCAGUGCAUGGCUGUUGAUAUUCCAGAAAAACUCUCCAUCAGUGGUGAGAACACAGUUUUGUGUUGGUACCGGCGUACUGUUCAUUACUAAACCGGCCAUAUUGUAUCAACACCCUGUUUAAUAUCCCAUUUCCAUCCAGGAAGUUUGGGAGUGAGCCUGCACUGAGAUACCACAUGUGGUACGGGAACACAACAUCCCUCUUCACCUUCAUGUCAGUUGCUGCGCAGGAAAGGGGCAGGACCUGUAACAACAACAACACCGACAACAUAUUUGUGGGCCAGUUGCACAAGAUGGAAUUGAUUCUUGAUGUAUUGAUUAAAACUCAUCGAAAAACUCUUGAAAUCGAUUCCAUCCCAAAAAUGCAUUUCUGUGAUGCACAUUUAGCAAAAUAACCUCUUUACAUAGCUAGUUGUCUGAAUCAACAUUCUAUUUUUAUACAGGUGUUAGGGCUCAUGGAAGAGCAGAGCAACAAAGGGGGAAGGGUCAAUAGAACACUGCGUCAAAGGGGUAGUAGCUGAUUGAUCGAUGCACCACAGCGUAAGGUGCAUCCAGGGAUUGCAGUUGUAAGGGGGGGGACAGAGUUUCAGCGGGUGUAGAAAAGGGUCCGAGGUAUAAUCAAACGGAAGACCAAGAAGGAACCUGUAGAAGUAAAGAGCAAAGAUGGUCAUCAGGAGGAACCUGGAUAGGAUUCGCGUUUUAGCCGCUACUCCACUACCCUCAAACCCAUCCAAGCGCAGAGAGACCAUGAUGUGGCAUAAUGCAGGAGGCUUGAAAUGCUGCAAGGAAGAACUCAAGACAACAGCCUCAAGAAGCCAGUUCGACAAGUGAGGAAUGAAUCGAGGUGAACAUUAACGUUAGACUUGGGAUAGGCAACCAGGCAAGGGUUUCUGGUGUGACCUGGAUGGGAGUGACUGGAGUUAAAUAGGGGUUUCACAGAAACUUGAGAGCACAGGAGCAAGACCAGAAGGGAGACAGUAAAAGUAUGCAGGUCUACAAACUUGCCUGAAGUGAGUGGUAAGCAGACACUGAAACAUGGAGAGCGUUUGACUGCAUGGCUUCAAGGAGGGGGAGCAGGGGCAGUUGGGGGGGGGGAGAUGUGAGUAAUCACGAGCAUUCUAUAGUGAAGGCAUUUUGAUUGAGGUCUUGAACUGAGGAUGGCAGAGGAAAGACUUGACUUGUAGACAAUUUUGAAUUUGUAGCUGGCUUUCGAGGACAAUUUAGCAAUAUGAACUGCCCAAGAUAAGUUAUCGGAGAUCAUGAACCCCAGGAUUAUUGGCUCCCUCUCCAGAGACAAACCACAAAUAAAUUUGGGUAUUACACAGCCAAUAUUUAGGGAGACAUAAAGCAAGAGUAUGGGACUUUCAUCAAUUAAAAGACAUGCUUCAGGUGGAUGAGCAGUUGCUUAUUUUCUCGAGAUCAGCAGAAAGUGAUGCUGCUGAAACCUACCUGGCAGAAGGCUGGGGAACAUUCCUGCACAGGGUGGAGUCAUCUCAAAAAGGAGACAACUUAGAUUUGUCCAAUGCUGAAGAGUGGUCAUUGCUGAAACAUAAAAUUUGUCCAAUGCUGAAGAGUGGGAAAAAGAGUGCGGAGGAGAGCAGCUCUGAGGAGAACAGCUCAGAUUAGAUCAUCUUGCCUGCUUUCCUCUCCCCUUGCUUGCUUGCCUGCCUUCACCUUGUGCCUGUUCGUCGUCCUAUCCAUCACCUCCUCAUCACCUGCUCGUGGCUGCUCUGUGCCCAUCCCCCCCCCCCAGCUACCACCAGAGCCGAGUCCCCAGUAUUGUCCCUUUCCUACCUGUGACUUCAGCCGGAGUGAGGCACUUUAGAUUUCUUUAGAUUCAUUGUUACCUCACUGUACAUAAUUAGUUCUUAAUUUCUUAAUUAAUUGUACUCCCUUCCUUCCUUCCCAACCAGCUGUCAUCUCGUCCAUCGCAAUUCCACCAUUCCUUGGGUUUUUUUUUUUAAACUUGUUUGUGUUACAGAAAAUAAACCCAGUGGAAAAUAAACCCAGUGGUUUUACCCAAACGAGGUUGCUCAUGUGUCUCCUCACAACCGCAUGUGCGCCAUCCGCCAUAUUUUGGAACGUCCCCACAGGAGUUAAAACUGUUUGGUACAUCACGGGGUUUUAACCUCCCACCGCAAUGAGCUCAAUGUUAGUUGAACCAUUGAGGUGACAAUAUUAAACUAGCCACAUUUCUCCAUCUGUCUGUCUGUCCCUCUCUGUGAUGCUCUUUUCUCUGCGACAUCAACAUGGCAUUUCUCUCUGUUACGUCUCGUGCUAAGCUGGGCCCCGAGCUGGUGUUGUAAAGAUGGCGUUG